AAAAAGGUAAGCUAAGUAAGCUAAUGGGUUCAUACCCCAUUCAUGGAGGUACAAAUCCUCUUCUUUUUA
rnacentral:tRNA from 1 species